CAAGAGUCGGCCCCGGCUCGCACUGUGAAGCCAGCUCUCUUGAAUGUUAGAUCACUUGCAAAUAAGUCAUUUCUGAUAAAUGAUCUUAUCUCCACACAUGACCUUGAUUUCCUGAUAUUAACUGAAACAUGGUUAAAUGAAGCAAAUAGUGCUGUCACCCUCAUUGAGUCCGCUCCUCCUAACUACGAUUUUCUGUCGUCUUUUAGAGAAUCAAAAAAAAGGGGAGGUUUAGCCACAAUAUUCAAAACUUUGUUUCAAUGUAAACAGUUAUGUCAUGGUAAAUUUUCAUCAUUGUGAGUAUAUGUGUGUCCUAAUUAAGGGUUCCCCUCGGAUUCUUACGGUGACAAUCUAUAGACCCCCCAAACAGUCUGAAAGAGCUUUUAUAGAUGAAUUUAGUGAUCUCCUGUCAAUCAUAUGUGUUGAAUUUGACUGUCUAAUCAUCUCAGGAGAUUUCAAUUUGCAUAUGGACAAAUCAGACAACAUAUACACCAAAGAUUUCCUUGCUCUAUUGGACACCUUCAGUCUUACUCAGCAUGUCCAAGGCCCCACGCACUCCCAUGGUCACACUCUUGACCUUAUCAUCACUAAGGGUCUCAAUGUCUCAAUCAAAGAUUUAGCCCUAUCUGACCAUUUCUGUUUAUUUUCUGAUAUCUCUAUGUCCCCCUGUAUUCAGAGUAGCUGCAUAAUGACUGGAAGGAGGAUCAUAAAUGAAAACACAGCAGCUCUCUUUGAACAAGCUCUCAUACAAACUCCAGUUUUCCCUACCUCUGGUGAUUCUGUGAAUGAUCUAUUGGAACUUUUUAAUACAAAAGUGGAAUCCAUCAUGAAUAAUGUUGCUCCUCUUAAACUUAAGUCAAUUACCAGCAAACAGAAAGCCCCAUGGUUAAAUAGUCCAACCGUUAAACUCAUGAGAAGAGAGUGUAGGAAAAGUGAAAGAAAAUGGAGGAAAAAUAAACUUCAAGUUAACCUACAGAUCCAUAAAGAGAAUCUCCGCAAAUACAAUUUUGAGGUAUGUAAGGCCAGGCAAUCUUAUUUCUCAGAUCUAAUAAACAACAUAAAUAAUACCCGUACAUUAUUCCUGAUGGUUGGAAAGCUAACAGAUCCUCCCUCCAAACUGCCCUCAGAAAUGCUCUCGAGCAAAUCAUGUGAUGAAUUUGCCUCAUUUUUUAAAAACAAAAUGAGAACAUCAGAGCAAACAUUGGUUCUCAAUUACAGUCUGCUCAUUGUCCAGAACUAGCCAUCCUAAGGGAAAACAAUCCCCUCAUGUCAGAGUUCAGUCUGAUGGAUACUAAUACACUCGAAAAAACCUUAAAAAGCCUCAACUCCUCCACCUGCAGUCUAGACACAAUCCCUACAAACUUUUUUAAAAAUAUUUUUCAUCUAUUAUCGGACAGUGUACUCCAAAUUGUGAACUUGUCACUUCAGUCAGGAAUUUUCCCAGAAUCCCUGAAAAUGGCUGUUGUAAAGCCCCUGCUCAAGAAGAAAAGCCUCGACCCAUCGGUAUUAAAUAACUACCGACCCGUAUCCAACUUGCCCUUUAUUGGGAAACUUAUUGAGAAAGUGGUUUUUAGUUGAACGAUUUUUUAACAGCAAAUUGCUGCCUUGAUCCGUUUCAGUCAGGCUUCCGGGCAAAUCAUAGUACUGAAACAGCUCUUAUAAAGGUCCUGAAUGACAUACGUCUCAACUCAGACUCAGACGCUUGUAUUACUGGACCUCAGUGCAGCAUUUGAUACAAUUGAUCAUAGCAUACUCCUACACCAAUUAGAACAUGGGGUUGGACUUUCAGGCAGAGUAAUCAACUGGCUGAAGUCCUAUCUGCAGGAGAGAACUUUCUUUGUUGCCCUUGGUAACUACACCUCAGCUCUAGCACCCUUGACGUCAGGUGUCCCACAAGGGUCAAUCCUGGGGCCACUUCUUUUUAAUCUCUACAUGCUCCCACUGGGUCAGAUUAUAAAGAACACUCAGGUUUCAUACCACAGCUACGCAGACGACACACAACUUUAUUUAGCCCUGUCACCCACUGAUAAGGAUCCCCUUGGCUCACUAUGUGACUGCCUAGACCAAAUAAAUAGUUGGUUGUCACAAAACUUUUUACAACUGAACAAAGAGAAGACCGAAGUAAUUUUAUUUGGGAGGAAGGAUGGAAAAGACAAAAUGGCUACACUUUUUAGGGCAAAGGGGUUUGAAGUUAGGACUAAGGUCAGAAACCUUGGAGUCAUAAUCGAUAGCGACCUCAACUUUGACAAGCAUUUGAGAGCUGUAACUAGGACAUCUUUUUAUCACCUGAAAAAUAUUGCCAAGCUGAGAGACCUUAUGUCCCAGUCUGACCUGGAAAAGCUUGUCCAUGCUUUUACUUCAAGCCUUCUAGACUACUGCAACGGUCUCUUCACAGGACUCCCAAAAAAGACCAUUAAACAACUUCAAUUAGUUCAAAAUGCUGCAGCACGAGUGUUAACAAAGACCAGAAAAAGAGAGCAUAUCACCCCUAUACUGAAGUCCUUGCAUUGGCUGCCAGUUUAUUUUAGAAUACAUUUUAAAGUACUGCUACUGGUUUUUAAAGCAUUACAUGGGAUGGGGCCAACAUAUAUAUCUGACAUGUUUACAUUUUACAUCCCCCUCAGGCCUCUCAGGCCACAGAAAAGCCAGGUAUUAUGCAUACCAUAUACUCGCACCAAACAGGGUGAAGCUGCUUUCAGCUACCAUGCAGUCCAGAUUUGGAACAAACUCCCUGAUCACGUUAAGAAUGCUCCAACCAUUGCCAAUUAUAAAACGCAAUUGAAGACCACCCUCUUCUCCAUGGCAUUUUCCUGUUUUUAAUUUAUUUUAUUCAUUAUUUUAAUCUCUCCUUUUUAUCCUUUUAUUACUACUAUUGCGAUAUGCUGUCUACUUGUACUAUUACUGUGAUAUGUUUUAUACGUGUGAUAUGUUUCUUACUUGUGUACUUCAAUUUGAGGUAAUGCCUCAGCUGUGUAAAGCACAUUGUGUCUACCUGGAGUAUGAAAUGCGCUAUAUAAAUAAAUUGCCUUGCCAUGCCUUGCCUUGCCUUGGUAGGCAUAUGACUAAGCCAGCUGACGGGCCUGCGUUGCAGUUCCAGAUGCACUUUCCUUAAUCAAACUAGCCUUUGAUAAUGUUCUGGCCCGCCACCUACUGGCUGGAAAAAAAAUUGGCCCAAGGCCAAUCUUGGUUGCUGACCCCUGGCUUAGUACCAAUACCCAACCAUGCAGCCCCUGUACUAUAAUGUAAAAGAGUUGUUCUGAACCUGACAUACAUAAAGGGAUGUCUUUAUGUCAAGAAGGUCUUUGUGCUUAAUACAUGAUGGUAACAGUCCUAUACACGUUCCAGUGGCGCAAAUAAAGUACAGUUAUUAUACGUGUAUACUAAAACCCCACUAGAUAAGAUACACUUAUAACCCUUAGAGGGACAUUUGUCUUGGACUCCAAUGCAGUCACAAAUAGCUGCUUUGCAUAAAAUAAAUAACAAUACAAAUGCAGUCAAUGCAUACAUAUAGGACAAGGGCCACAUAUAUCAUACAACAUACAAGAAACAGUGCAAUUCUCUCACACACACACACACACACACACACACACACACACACACACACACACACACACACACACACACACACACACACACACACUGUAUUGCACCAUGGGUCAUGAUCAGUACUAUUGCAAAAAAAAAUUGGCCCUGGGGGCAUUUAGGAUCUUCAUUGAGGUGGGCACAAAUUAAUUCUUAAAGUGGUUCAGGCUGCAAGUGGGGACUCUGUAGCGUCUACCUGAUGGUAAAAACUGGUAUUCUGUGUGCAGAACAUGUGUCUGAUCAGAUAACAUUUUCUCAGCUGGUCUGAGCACAGUCUGCUCGUAUGUGGACUGCAAGGGGAGGUUUUCAGACCUCCCCAUCACCUUCAUAGCGGAUUGAAGCAGGUGCCCAAUUUUUGAUUUCGGCUGGACAGGAAGGUUACCGUACCAAGCCGAAACACCCUGAGUCUACUCAGGAAGUACAGUCUUUGCUGGAGACGAGAACACAGGUAAUCAACAUGAGCCUUCCAACUGAAAAGGUUAUCAAGAUGGAUGCCGAGAUACCUGUAGGAGUUGACUUGGUUGAUUUUCUUUCCCCCAUGGAUAUACACAGUGGAGUAUGAUCCCCUAUUGAUUUCGGGCCCAGCACCAUUUCCUCUGUCUUCUUUACGUUAAUGGUGAGGUGAUUCUCAUCACACCACUUAACAAAACUCUGUAUUUCAGAAAAAUAUGGUGAGGGGACAGUGUGCUGAUACUGAAGGCUCAGGAUGGCAGUGUCGUCUGAGAACUUAAAAAUAAAAUAAUCUGGGUGGCUGCGGAUACAAUAAUUUGUUUACAAAGUAAAAAGAUGUGGUGAGCUAACACAGCCUUGGGGUGCACCAGUGCUGAUCCUUCAGAGAGUCCGAUAGCAUUUUAGAGUUCCUGGAGGUAAAAUUCUGUUCAAUAAUGUCCUUGUGUUUUCUCCUUGCUUCCCUCAACAUGUGAUUAAGUUCCUGUGGGGUACGGUAUAAACCAUAUAGAGAGUACGCCUGGUGAAUUUGCGCUACGGUAUGGAUUUUGAUGUUACGGUGUGACUGGUGUGACCGGUAGAUGAGCGCUUUCUUUUCCUUUGUUUUAUAUUCACUUAAAGGUCCCAUGGCAUGACACCAGGUGUGGUGAGAUUAGCCGUUACAAGCCGUUUUGGAAAUCUGCCCCUUAUGACAUCACAGGUGGGCGUGUCCACCUAGAUGUGUGAGGAUAGAUCAGUCUACCAGCCUACCCAGUGGACUGUAUCAAAGGUUGCUCCUCUAUCCGUCACACAAGUUCCAUCCCCUCAAUUCCUUCUCCACAAUGGCCGAGAUAACCCCACUAAGAGUUUCUAUCGUAGUACCAGACAGACGCCCGAGAACCCGACGCAGUCUUUAAUUCAUAAUAUCUUUUACAUUUUUUAUCAACCAAAAUAUCCUUAAAAUUCUUACUUAUAUUUCAGUCAGUGUCUCGACUCUUCAUACAGCUAUGGGCAUGUGUCAAACAAAGUAUGCAAUCUUAAAUAAAAUAACGUGAAAUAAAUAAUUAAUACGUUUACUGUCAUGUAUUCAAUCCUGAAAAAUACUAAACAAAAGAACAAAUAUACUACACCAGGUGUUCUCAAAUAGAGGUCCCUAGUGUAAUUGCAAGGGGAUCAUGAAAUAAAAAAGUGUAAUGGACGUACUCAGUACCACAUGGUUUCCAGUAGGGAUGCACCGAAAUGAAAGUUCUUGGCCGAAACCGAAAACCGAAAAUGAGGAAACCAAGGCCGAAAACCGAAACACAGAAAGAAAUUAUUGUGACAAUUAUUAGUACCAUUUUGGGUUGCCGCGGUAUACGGUAUUACCGUGUUACCGGCGUUGGCAGUUUGGCAGUUUGUCUUUGCACUGUUUUAUUGUUGAUACGUUUUUUCAUAAAAAAAUAAAUAAAUACAAACCUAAUAGAUAAAGCGUUGGAACGCACAAGACCGGUAACCAUAGCAACGCCGGUAAACAAACCCCUCAAAGCCCAAUCCCUACGAGAGCUCCCCGCGUAGGGAUUGGCCAUCCGGAGGUGCACAGAGCUUUUGGCCGUGAUAUUAUCUAUAAAAUUAUAUUCUAUUAUAUAUAGAACGUUAUAAGACGUUGUCACCGAGAAUUGGUGCGCUGCCAGACGCUGUCACCGAGUGUGAGAGGAGAGUUGACGGAGAAGAUGGCGGUUGACCUAGUUUCAAAUACCGUUUAUACUCGUAAUACCGGUGUUGACACGAGUGUAUUACUCGGUGUGAAAAUGUCCACACCGAGGCAACCCUAGUACCAUUGCGUUUAUGGCUAUGACUGUGUACUAACUUCAUUAAAAUCAAGACAUUGCAAUUUUUGCAAAUCGCUAUACGUGGGUCUUUCUCAGAAACAUUGAAAAACGUCCACACCGCAGACAUAUUGGCGCUUAUCCAGACAUGUGUGUGCUGGCCGCGCUUUUUGUUUGCAUCAUCACAAAUGUCAUCACAAAUUUCUGUUUCGGCCGUGUUUCGGUGAUAAAAGAAAAUGCGCUUUUGGGCAAUUUUCGGCCGAAAAAUGUUGGUGGCCGAAAAUUCGGUGCAUCCCUAGUUUCCAGUAACUUUACAUAUAAUAGAGGGGGUGGGGGUUCCUGAGGACCUCAACAUAUGCAAGGGUUAGAGUAUCCAAAAAAAGGAUAGGAACCACUGUGUACUAAACUAAUGAACAAAAGAACCGAACAUAUAAUCUGUGCAAAGUAGAGCAGCACUAAACAGCAAUGUCGACGUGAUGCGCUAUGCAUAGAGAAUACAAUUUGCAACAUUUUGCAACAAAUGAUUCUAAAUCUGCCCAUUAAUGUACACUCAGAAUUUUGCGGUUUUCACUGCCGUUGUCAAAUUUGCUGAACAAAAUGUUAAACUUCAAUAGUUGUUCAUAGUCAACUUAUUACAUUUUUUGACUUUUGACAUGCUAGACCCCUGAUGUUCGUAGGCUCCUGAUGGUCGUGGGCCCCUGAUGGUCGUGGGCCCCUGAUGGUCGUGGGCCCCUGAUGGUCGUGGGCCCCUGAUGGUCCUGGGCCCCUGAUGGUCCUGGGCCCCUGAUGGUCCUGGGCCCCGGGGCUUCAGCCCAGGUUCAUUGGUCGGUGCCGGUGAUGUCAUUUCCCAGCAGCUGAUUGAGAGAAGAGGGUUGGCCAAUCACAGCGGGCGGCGGACGGUC